rnacentral:rRNA from 1 species
UACGUAGGGGGCGAGCGUUGUCCGGAUUUAUUGGGCGUAAAGAGCGUGUAGGCGGCCAGGUAGGUCUGCUGUGAAAACUGGAGGCUCAACCUUCAGAGGUCGACCGAAACCAUCUGGCUAGAGUCCGGGAGAGGAGAGUGGAAUUCCUGGUGUAGCGGUGAAAUGCGCAGAUAUCAGGAAGAACACCCGUGGCGAAAGCGGCUCUCUGGAACGGUACUGACGCUGAGACGCGAAAGCGUGGGGAGCGAACAGG